AUACCAUGAUGAGAGCAAUUACUAAGAAACUCAUUGUAACGAUCCCAUACUUCAGAAAAACGUUCAUCAUCUUCUUGCUCAAAAGCUUAUAUCCUGCUCCU
rfam:Helianthus annuus linkage group 10, whole genome shotgun sequence.